rnacentral:rRNA from 1 species
UACGUAGGCAGCGAGCGUUGUUCGGAGUUACUGGGCGUAAAGAGUGCGUAGGCGGUUUUCUAAGUUUGGUGUGAAAUCUCCCGGCUUAACUGGGAGGGUGCGCCGAAGACUGGAAGGCUUGAGGAUGGGAGAGGUAAGCGGAAUUCCUGGUGUAGCGGUGAAAUGCGUAGAUAUCAGGAGGAACACCUGCGGUGUAGACGGCUUACUGGACCAUCACUGACGCUGAGGCACGAAGGCCAGGGGGAGCAAACGGG